AUGCCAUGCAGAGACCCUUACAAGCUUCACGGGUUGGCCUGUGAAAAACUCAUGAACUUCAAAAAGGCCAAGUGCAAGGUCCGUCAUCUGCUCUGGGGCAAUCCGAAGCACACAUACAGGCUGGGCAGAGAAUGGAUUGAGAGCAGCCCUGAGGAGAAGGACUUGAGGGUGCGGGUGGACAAGAAGCUUGACACGAGCUGGCAAUGUGCUUUUCAGCCCAGAAAGCCAACCGCAUGUUGGUCUACCUUAAAAGCAGUGUGGCCAGCAGGGCGUGGGAGGAGCCACCAGCGUCCCCUGCUGUGCAGACACUCAGCACGAGAUCGUCUGGGCACAGAGCUGCCUGGCCCAACCAGGCCGCAGCUGUCCCACGCCUCAGCUCUGCCGCAGGGAAACCCCUGGGGCAGGGAAACCUGGGCCUGGGGCGUGGGCGCUCAGGGCCAGGCCUCGUGCCCUGCUGCCGUGCCCCACCGCCUGGCACUCUCAGCGCCGUGCCAGCCCUCUUCCUCCCUCCCUGUCCCGCGGCACUCCUACGCACUUGGCAGCCCUUUGUUGGGCUGGGAGUGGGCCUUUCCCUCCUGCUCCUUCCUUGGGCAUCUCUCUGUCCUCUCAUGGAGACAAAGAUACAGGCACCCAGGGCAGCUGCUGCCUCCUGACGGCGCUGCGCUCCUGGGAGUGGGCACCACGGGGGCUCGGGCCCCACAAGGCACACCGCUACCAUGGGGACACCCCCCCCGUCACAGUGGCCUUGCGGCCCUGCGCCGCCCAGUGUCAGUACCCAUAUGCAUCCCAGUUGAUGUUGACCGGGCCUUGCAAUAUCGAUGGUAUUCCCUGGGCAUUUGUGGAGGAGUCAGGCACGGCAGCAGGCAAGGGAGAAGGUCCAGGGCCACUGUCACCUUCUCUACUCUCAUCCAUCCCUGCUGCUAGAAGACAUCAAAGUACCAACCUGCUUGCCUUGACUUUGGUUGACCUUGCAGAAAACCAGCAUGUCAGGUAGCACCCAUGAAUGUGGAGUCAGCUGCAUUAUGCCCUUUCUGAUAUGGGAAACAGUGACCUGCAGUAUCCUGCAGCUGGAACAGUAACCUGCAACUGUGUCCUGGUUUUGGUUUUGUUCAGCUUCUUCACAGGUGCUGCUAUGAUGCCAUGUUUUGGAUUUAGGAGAAAAAUAAUGCUGAUAGCAUAUUGAUGUUUUAGUUGUUGCAGAGCAGUGCUUACACUAAGUCAAGGACUUUUCAGCUUCUCACACCACCCUGCCAGGUACUCACCUACACCACCUACCCAGUGGCAGGCUGAGGCUGCACAAGAAGCAGUGAGGGGACAGAACCAGGACAACUUACCCAGACUGGACAACGGGAUAUUUCAUAUCAUAUGACAUCAUGCUGAGCAAUUAAUAUGGGAGCAGUUAGCCAAAGACAUGGCUGCUGCUUAGGGACUGGCUGAGCAUCAGUCAGCAAGUGGCAAGAAAUUGCAUUGUGCAUCACUUCUUUUGUAUAU
rnacentral:lncRNA from 1 species